UGCGUAGGUGGUCCGUUAAGUCAGUUGUGAAAUCCCCGGGCUCAACCCGGGAACUGCUUCUGAUACUGGCGGACUUGAGGCCAGUAGGGGUCACUAGAACAGACGGUGGAGCGGUGAAAUGCGUAGAUAUCGUCUGGAAUGCCUGUGGUGAAGACGGGUGACUGGGCUGGUUCUGACACUGAGGCACGAAAGCGUGGGGAGCGAACGGGAUUAGAUACCCCGGUAGUCCACGCCCUAAACGAUGCAGACUAGAUUGCAGUGGGUCUUACCCCAUUGCGGUCGGAGAAAAAUUGUUAAGUCUGCCACCUGGGAAGUACGGUCGCAAGGCUAAA
rnacentral:rRNA from 1 species